rnacentral:Y_RNA from 1 species
GGCUGGUCCGAAGGUGGUGAGUUAUCUCAACUGAUUGUUCGGUUACAGAUUAGACUCUGUUCCACUCUUUCUCCUCUUCUCACUAUUGCACUUGACUAGUCUGGU